GCCCUGCAAUGAUUUACAAAAGUGAGAACCACAGGCGAUAUCUAAUACCUAAGAAUCUGAAGUUGAAGUACUUAAUGAUAAGUUUAUUUAUAUUAUAUACCAACCUUUAGUAACACUUGCUUUCUUAUGCUUCAAACUUGCAAGGUAUUCUUUGCAGUUUCUCUUUCAGUGCCCUUCUUUGCCACACUGAUAACAGGUACCCUUAGAGAAGACUUUCUUCGCCUUCUUCUUCGAGAUGCUAGUGUUAGGGUUCAACUUUUUCUUAGAACCCUUC
rnacentral:lncRNA from 1 species